rnacentral:lncRNA from 1 species
ACUUGAUGACCCUGGAUGCAAAGAGUUAACAGAGAUAUGGCAUGAACAUGUAUUAGAAAAAUGAUUCACACACAAUAGAAAAAAUAAGUAAGACCAGGAUUGGGUGGCUUUGGAGAAUGUAAUUUCAGCUUGAAUAUGAAGAUGCUUGUAGAACAGUGUUCCUUCCUCUGAACAUGGCUACAGAAGAACAAAUCAGUUAGUCUGAAGAUGAAAACAAGAAGCUGAUGGUAGACACAUUCUGAACUGGCUAACACAACACUCUGAAACUGGAGGAUAUCAACUGAUAAGAUAUGAAGUUCUCCCUUAGUUUCAAAUACACUGGGUUCAUAAAUUAUUGACAUAAACAAUAGAUGUCCCAUCAAGCUACCAUGAAGAUAGCUAGGUCUGCACAACUCCUCAAGUGUCGACCCCUCCAAGCACAUCCUCCACCUGGAACUGUGAACUGAAUGGAUAAAUGUGUUGGUCAGAAAGGUCUUUACAUCUUUGAAUUGUAAC